GAUGAACGCUGGCGGCGUGCCUAAUACAUGCAAGUCGAGCGAACGGACGAGAAGCUUGCUUCUCUGAUGUUAGCGGCGGACGGGUGAGUAACACGUGGAUAACCUACCUAUAAGACUGGGAUAACUUCGGGAAACCGGAGCUAAUACCGGAUGAUAUUUUGAACCGCAUGGUUCAAAAGUGAAAGACGGUCUUGCUGUCACUUAUAGAUGGAUCCGCGCUGCAUUAGCUAGUUGGUAAGGUAACGGCUUACCAAGGCAACGAUGCAUAGCCGACCUGAGAGGGUGAUAGGCCACACUGGAACUGAGACACGGUCCAGACUCCUACGGGAGGCAGCAGUAGGGAAUCUUCCGCAAUGGGCGGAAGCCUGACGGAGCAACGCCGCGUGAGUGAUGAAGGUCUUCGGAUCGUAAAACUCUGUUAUUAGGGAAGAACAUAUGUGUAAGUAACUGUGCACAUCUUGACGGUACCUAAUCAGAAAGCCACGGCUAACUACGUG
rnacentral:rRNA from 1 species